AAGUAACAAGGUCUUGAAGGUGGCAUUUGGAGCAGCCCUGGGCAAUGUUGGAAAUAUUGGACCUUACAACCAUGAGAUCACACUGACCUACAAGACCGUCCUCUCAAACACGGGCUCAUACAACCCUGCUACAGGUAUUUUCACUGCUCCGGUCAAAGGAAUGUAUUACUUCAGCUUCUCUGGUCAUAAUUUAUCAAGUAAGCCAAUGGGGCUACGACUCAUGAAGAAUGGAGUGCAGAUCGUUACCGUGUUCAAUCAUCCAUCUGGAAAUCGCCCUGAAACGGCAACUAACGGCAUGACUAUACCUCUUAAUGUGGGAGACAAGGUGUACAUGACGCUCCGUGUGAAUACGUGGAUUUUUGAUAAUCUUAAUUACCACAGCACCUUCAAUGGAUUUCUGUUAUUCCCUUUCUGAGAAAAAUAAAUUCCAGAGAGAGAAGAGAGAGUCAGUGAGGUGCAGUACAUUGUUACUUCAAUUGGGGUGUUGUUUAAUGAAUUAAAGUGUUAAUGAAAACACUGUAUGAUAAUAAAUCAAGUUAAACAGGAUCCUGAUCAAAACUUUGUUAAUUGAAAGUUUUAUAUUGAUUGAUAUUAUGUUUCUUUUUGUGUUGUGUUUCUUUUUAAUCAAUAAACACACUCCAGCAUCAUA